rnacentral:lncRNA from 1 species
GUUUGUUGUUAUAUUGGAAACAUGUGUUUAUGUUUACAAUAAUAUUUAAAUUAUUUUAGCAUAACAAUAAGUCACCUUAACAAAGUUAAGAGUUUAAAGUUCUUUGUAUGAUAGCACGGACUGAUCAGUCGCGGUAAAAGUUAACAUUGAAAAUACAUUUUCAUAGCUUGACCAUUCGAAGCUCAGUCUUAGUGCAGUGAAGUUCCCCCCCUCCCCCCUCUCC